CAGUCGCCGCGGUAAAACGUAGGUGGCGAGCGUUGUCCGGAAUUAUUGGGCGUAAAGGGCUCGCAGGCGGUUUCUUAAGUCUGAUGUGAAAGCCCCCGGCUCAACCGGGGAGGGUCAUUGGAAACUUGGAAACUUGAGUGCAGAAGAGGAGAGUGGAAUUCCACGUGUAGCGGUGAAAUGCGUAGAGAUGUGGAGGAACACCAGUGGCGAAGGCGACUCUCUGGUCUGUAACUGACGCUGAGGAGCGAAAGCGUGGGGAGCGAACAGGAUUAGAUACCCCUGUAGUCCCUGUCUCUUAUAC
rnacentral:rRNA from 1 species